CGGGGAUCCUGGCUGUAAGCUGGAUGAAAAUACAGAUUGAACCUCCCAAGACACAUUUUUCAGAAGGAGGAUGCAUGAAGAGUAAGCACACAUAGUUUGGUGAUGCAACAGAAGAUCUGGCAAUAGGCAAGAAAGAUGUAGAUCUGGGGCCCCCAGGUUGGCUCUCCAAUCGUCUACCUGAUUUCACAAAAGGGCCGUACCUGUCUUGCCCUUGGAAGCAUUUAAUUGGUGACAAACGCCUCCCACCAUCUUGACAACUAGUUCAAAGCAGAGAAUAAUGGUCAUCAUUUAUCAAGUGCUCGUGAUGGGUCACUCUUCUGAGAUCUUCCGAUGUAUGAACUCAUUUAACCCUCAACAACUCCAUGAGAUGUAUCCUACAGAUUACAAAAAAGGGAAACUGAGACAAGAGACAUUCAGUGGUGUGCCUGUGGUCACACAACUAGUACGUGGCAGAAAUCCAAGGAAAAGCAAAGGGGGUUGACUCCGGAAUCCCAAUGCCUGACUUCUGAUCUACGCUGCCUUUCGGAUUAGCCAAAUGCACUCUCUUCUUCGAAUGUUUCCAAUUUCGUGAUCUCUCUUCGGCUGUGUUCCAGCCUAACAAGAGUUUCUCACCAUAUGUACACACACAUUGCACCUACAGGUUGAUAUUUUAUGUAAUAAAUUUCAUCUAUAGAAUAUA